GCCUUUGUAGUUCAGUGGUUAGAACAUUCGUUUAGUAAACGAAAGGUCGCGGGUUCAAUUCCCGCCUGAGGCU
rnacentral:tRNA from 1 species